UGCGGCGGUCCAGGCGGUUGGCCCGGUGGAGGUCCUGGAGGAGACGGUCCCGGCGGUGGAGGACGGCUGAGGGAUCCGGCGGUGGAGGUCCGAAGGCGGCUCGUGAUUAGACCAACCAGCUCCUCAUCCAUGGAAGCAGGAUUGAAGGAGUCACUGGGGAUGAAGAUCACUGCUCAGGGGCUGACGACCACUCAUCUUUCCGGAGAAGCGUCCUCAUGGUGCAGGCGGUCAAACCUCCACCUCUUUGAAGAGACCAAGCAGCUUGAUGACUGACUGGUUCUUUAUACUCAAGACCUCGUCCCGGAGCAGAGGACGGACCUAAGGCCCGCAGCGCAGCCGACGAGAGACUCCAUGUGGAACCGGUUCAAUUAAGUUGACCUCUCCUUCAGGCGACUUAAAGGGAGACCAGAUGUGCGGCAGCUGGGUGUCAUGGUGCAGAGACCCAACGCUGUACUGAACUACACCAGUGUGUCCUACUCCCAUAAACCCUGAGGAUCCCUGGAUGGCUACACCAGCACAUUAAUCCACACCCAACAUCAACACACAGUGCACACUCUAUAGAGCUCGUAAGUCCGCCCCUUGCGGCGGGACCUCGUGAGAUCGUAAGUUAUGACUGGGUUUCAAUGGAGAGAAAGUAAUUAUUUUCUCGAUUUAUGUAUCACCACAUUUUGGGGGAAAAAUGUUUGAAUCAAUCUUUGUCAUUUAUUUCUGUACUCCAUAUCUGUAAUCCAAGCUGUUGUAUUUUAACACGGUAGCUGGGAACCCUCUUUAUAGGGAGCGACUAGCGGGACGAGGCUGGAAGCAAACCUGAGCCUGGAUCUUAACCUUCUUUCUAAACCUAAUGCCGCAAUUUAACCGCAAAUAAAGUGAGGCCUAAAGUAACUUGACUCGCUUA